rnacentral:lncRNA from 1 species
AUGUGUGUGUGUGUGUGUGUGUGUGUGUGUGUGUGUGUGUGUGUGUGUGUGUGUCCACAGCGGAUUGAGGAGAUCAUGAAGAGGACACGUAAGAGUGAGACGGACUCCUUAUGCCCAGGUGUGUGUGAGGUGAACGGGGGCCAGGCAGGACAUGUCAGGGAGUUGGAUCAGGACGAGUCCCCCAUCAUCACACUGGGACCCCUGGAGAGUAAGAGCUGUGGAGGGGACGAGCUGUCUGACGGGGUACAGUCUAUGGACGUCAGUCCAGUGUCCAGGGAUGAGUUGGGUAGCGUUCAGGAGUUCUCUCCCAUCAGCGAGGGGUUAAACAGCAUAAGUAACACCCAAACCCUGGAGCACCUCCUGGAUCUCACCGCCCAGCCAGAAACGUCCCUUUACCCCAUGCUGCAGGCCGGCAGUGCUGCAGCCCUGGGAGACCUCAACAAGAACCUGCUGAUACAGGAUUAUAACCCCGCCUCCUUCACUAGCUCCUCCCCAAGCUCCGCCCAACUUCUCCACAGCCUCAGCCCUGGCAAACUGGACAUCUAGUAACCAGGGCUUUGGGAAGGACAACUAGCUGUUGGGUGCAAAGAGGAGCUAGGAGCAGCAAGGGGGUCUCUCCUCUCCUCCUGCUUCCCCCCAUCAGAGAGAGACCAGCUCCUUGCACCUCCGCCCUCACCCCUCUUUAGGGGAGAGACCCUCCCCAUUCACCCCCGGCUUCCACAGAGAACAACAACCGCUCAAUAUAUGGCUCGCCCUCAUCUAUACAACUCAACCACAGGAGGCUGCUGAAGGGAGGACGGCUCAUAAUAAUGUCUGGGAAAGGAACAAAUGGAAUGGCAUCAAACACCUUGAAACCAUGUGCCUAACGUAUUCGAUACCAUUCCACUAAUUCCGCUCCAGUCAUUACCACGAGCCAUUCUCCUCAAUUAAGGUGCCACCAACCUCCUCAACACAUCUACCGCUGAAUUCCCCAUUCACACACACACACACUGACAUGUACACACACGGUUAAUACUCUCCUGGUAAAGUAAAGCUUUUUCUCUGUGUCCUGGCUGUAUGAUAUUGUGCAUAAAGGUGUGUCAGUGUUGAGAGGAGGAUGAUGUAAUAGUAUGGUUGUGUUAUCCGCCUGUAGCAUUAAUUAUGUGGUUAACACUGACCAUGUGACCCUGUAGCAUCUUCACUGGAGAACACCUCUCUUCCUCCUGUAUAUACUAUAGUCACACAGCUGUUAACUAGCUCUAGGUAGAAGUUGCCCCUAACCACAGAUCUAGCAUCAGAUCUUUCUAACCCUCAAUAACCUUAACUAUUGGGGAGAUGAAAAUAUAGUCUGACCCUGUAUCAGUGGUUAGUGGCAACAGUUACAACGACUGUGUUUGGAGUUUCUGUCAGUGUUUCUAGUGGUGGAAGGUUAUAUCCUACCACCACUGAUGUGCUGCACUACUGUUUGCCAGGACUCAGGAGUCUAUUCGACUACUAUCGGUACUUAGAACUCAGCUAGCCAGUCUAGAUAUGUUAACCUCCUGCAACUGGAGAAACCUACUCAUCUACAGAUGUGGAUGAUAUAGUAAGACAAAAGUCUGGCCUCAGUUGAUAUGCUUUUGUCCACCACCGCUCCUUAGUGGUGCAUCAAAACACGUGGAAGACUGGAGCAUCUCUGAAUAUAAUCUCUGCAAAAAGAAAUGAAAACUGUGAAUGGUCUCGUAUUUUUUAGCUAUUUACAGGGUUGGGGGAUAUUGAAAAGAUGUGGCGUGUGUUUUUGGCUGGCUGUGCGUACGCUAGCUGUGGUGUAGUUAGUGUGCACUGUGUGGUCGUGUAACAGCUCUAAAAACACUCAUCUCUGCUCUGAACUGGACUAUUUAUGCUGCAACUACCAGUCAACCUACAGCAGGGGUCUCCACCUGCAGUCCUGGAGGGCACUGCUUGUGCAGGCUUUCGUUCACACCUGAUUCCACUGAUCAUGGUUCAUACUGAAACGGUGAUUAGUUGAAUCAAGUGGGUUUGGGACAGGGCUGAAACAAAAGCCUGCAUACCCAGGCCAGUAGUUCUCUAGCACCAAAGUUGGAGAACCCUGUCCUACAGUAUCUCACCAGUCUGUGUAUUCACUCAGUCAGUCAACUCUGUAACAGACUCUGGUGUGCAACAGCUAUAUUCACUAUGACUGUGGCUUUACCUCAUGGAGAUUUCUCUCACUACAGAGGACACUUCACAGUCUGCUGUCUACUACUGCUGUGAAUUCUAGAAUCAUACAUUCUCCCUGUACUGUAACUGUCUUGUUUGGAUUUUACUGUAACACUUGCCUAUGCUUUGCUCUGGGGGAGGGUGUAGCUCAGCAUGUGUGCUCCCUCUCCUCGCUGUUUCAAUCUCUGUUUCAGUUCCCCCUGAAGGGCAGUGUAAGGUGUUAAUCAUUCCUCAUGACCCAGCUAACCCUGUGAGGGGGAACACUGAAUUGUGUGCAUUAAUGGCUGUAAUAAUGAUGCUGUAUCUCAAUUACUGGACUAGAGUAGGUAAAGGGCUGGAAUGUCCACUUAUCUUUGCUGUCUUCAGUGCAUUGGACUCUUGAUUUAGUUAACAUGUAUUUUCGUCCAUCUCUCUUCCUCUCUCUUUCUGUACUCGCUCAUUAUCUCAUGCUUUCAGAGGCUGUUAACAUUCAUUGUAUCCUAAGGGAAAAUGUAGUUAACUUAAGACUUAAGGUCAGAAUGUUAUUCACUAAAAGUCACUUAACACUGAUGUCACUGCAGCUUGGCGGAAUAUAUAACUGUAGAUGUGGUGCAUGGUUCUAACUGCUGAAAAACAACAAUAAAACAUCAUCAAGCCAUGUUUGGGACUUUGUUUAUCAAGCAAUG